ACACAUCGUCACGGGUGCUUCCUUGUUUGCCUUGAUUGCGCUUAACCCGAUUCCAUUUCUUUUGUCUUAUUGGGUUGUGCAUGGAUUGGCUGGGGAGGCUGAGAUGCCGCUGAGUAGCGGCGAACCGUCGAACCUGAUCCGGAUAAUGCCGGCGAAAGGGAGGGAUCAUGAACUCUGUAU
rnacentral:ncRNA from 1 species